rnacentral:lncRNA from 1 species
GUAGUAUUGCAGAAGUCGAAGAUGGAGCUGAUAUUGACUCCGUCAAUGAUGAUCCUGACGGAAGGAGAGCCGGUAGUGCAGCAGGUGGAGAGCGGGCAAAGACAUAGGGGCGAGCAGCCUGAAGGACUCUCUGGACCUGGACUAGGUGAACCACCUAUCUAUGGGGGAUUGCUUUGAGUAAGCAGAGUUCUGUACGUAUUUAGACUCCAUACACAGUUCUCUCAUGAGAAGAAAUAUGCAAGUCAAAACUCUAAUCAGGGUGUGAAGACCCUAAUUAGGAUUUUCAAACCCUAAAUUAUAGAAAACGAAACACAUCUUUUUGAAAAACAAAAACGUUUAUAGAGGUCUUUGGGUGAUUCUAAGCCUUGGCAAUAUUUUACAACAAAAAAAGCUAUGAUACAUUGAGAGAUAUUGAGGAUAAAAAACCUCUAGGACAUCUAUGUAAUCCCUAAACCCUAAAUCCUAAACCUAGUCUUUUUCUUCUUCUUUCAGAAAUUUUGUUAAUCUCCUUUCAGAGAUCUUGUUAUUUUUUUAUUUAAUAAUUACUUAUCAAGAACUUUGCCUACCACCUUAAAUCUGGUCAGAACACCCAUCCUCAAAACUAUUGUCAAAGUGAAUGAUGAUCUUAAUUAAACUCACAUCCUUAAUUAGGAUUAGAAGUUCCUAAUUAGGAAUAGAAGACCCUAAUUAGGGUUUCAAAAUCCUAAAUAACAAAAAA